rnacentral:misc_RNA from 1 species
GAAAUGCGAUACGUAAUGUGAAUUGCUUUCCGUGAAUCAUCAAAUCUUUGAACGCACAUUGCACUCCUUUGGAGUAUGCCUGUUUGAGAAUCUAUAGUAUUCUUCUCUCUUCAUUGAGAGAGAUUUGAGGCUUCCCUAUGAAGAUAGGGUGCUUUAAAAGUCGUUGCCUGAACUGUAUAGAAAAUGUCUGACAUCUUUCAAAGUUCUACAGAAACGUAUGUGACUGAAACCUGGUUUCUCAUUAUGCUGAAUAUGUAGACAGAAUGAUUAGUUUUCUAGAUAGGGUAGGUUCAUAAAUUAUAGAUGACUGCAAAGUUAUUUGAACCAUGGUCUCAAAUCAGGUAGGAAGACCCGCUGAACUUAA